GCUCGGUCAUGAAAAAUCUUUUAAUUACAUCUUGUAAUUAAAUCUUUUAAUUACAAAUAUCUAUUCUCCAACUGCUCAAGGUGAUUGGUCCAUUUGGAAGGUACCCUCCAUCUCUGUUUAAUUUUAAUCCGUGAACUGUACUCGAAUCAACUCAGCACAGUACUCAAUCUUGCUAAACCUCUGUUCUGCUCCAUAUAUCAAUACCAAAAUUGCUUUGAUGAGUAUUUAAUUAAAUAUGGUGACAAAAUACUUUCAUCAUCUUUAUUCGCCUCUCGUUUCUCUGUAAUCGUCAGGAAAACUGGCAUUCAGACUCGAUACUGAUUUCGUGUCUGUCAGGAAAUCAGGUGCGGGAUGACACUCCGCUGCAACGCCGUUUCGUUCUUAGGCAUGCGACAGUAAGCACACAAUUACUCAUUCGCCAUGUUCACUAAUUGAUGGAUACCCUCUUGUGUACUUCUUUGGAAUAAACUUAUCUUGCUUUGGACUCCUGCCAGAAUUCAGAUACCACUGUGAUGUCAGCGGAGGAAAAACCCAAGCUGUGAAGCAAAUCCGUAUGAAUGUGUGCCAUGGUAAAUCUCCAUGCAAAACGAAAUCGGAUUGAUCAUAUGCUGAUAAUAUUCAGGUGCAAUGUAUAUGUCUGAAGCAAUCAAUGUACCUGCAGGUUGGAAUAUCUGAAAGCAUCCACAAAAUGAAGGAACCAUCUAUGAAAUGAAGGAAGCAAUGCUCGUCAAGCUAAGUCAGAACUCCAGCACGGCAUGGCAUGAUUGUUGUCUGAAAGUAGAUGUGCUAACUGGAACUAGAUCAUGCUGUGACCGUCCUCGCUCUCCCUAGAGUUUUUCUCUACAUGUGUGCGUCGUCAGUUCAGGCAGAGAUAUGUCUUGAUCCAUUUUCUCUACCUGUAGAUGUCAGUAGGUAUUUUUAUUUGCCUAGAAAUUUUGCAAAAUGUCCCUUGGCUCCGAAGCCCAUGUCCGUGUGCACAGGACACUGUACUGGUAGUCUGACAUGUGAGUGAGAGCGUUUGUGUGUUGGCACUGGCUGUCCGUGUGUGUGUCGUUGGGCAUUGACCUGUCAAGUGUUUCAUCAGUUAAGGAAAAUGCAAAGUCUGAAUUCCCCCGUCUCCUCUGUUCCCAGUCCCCUUUCUUCUUCCUCUUCACGCAGCUUGAGUGUUGUUACAAGAACGAAGCCAAUGUCCUCGCGGGCAAAAUUUGUGCUUAUUUGAG
rnacentral:lncRNA from 1 species